rnacentral:rRNA from 1 species
CCUACGGGAGGCAGCAGUGGGGAAUUUUGGACAAUGGGCGCAAGCCUGAUCCAGCAAUGCCGCGUGCAGGAUGAAGGCCUUCGGGUUGUAAACUGCUUUUGUACGGAACGAAACGGUCUGCCCUAAUACGGUGGGCUAAUGACGGUACCGUAAGAAUAAGCACCGGCUAACUACGUGCCAGCAGCCGCGGUAAUACGUAGGGUGCGAGCGUUAAUCGGAAUUACUGGGCGUAAAGCGUGCGCAGGCGGUUAUAUAAGACAGAUGUGAAAUCCCCGGGCUCAACCUGGGACCUGCAUUUGUGACUGUAUAGCUAGAGUACGGUAGAGGGGGAUGGAAUUCCGCGUGUAGCAGUGAAAUGCGUAGAUAUGCGGAGGAACACCGAUGGCGAAGGCAAUCCCCUGGACCUGUACUGACGCUCAUGCACGAAAGCGUGGGGAGCAAACAGGAUUAGAUACCCUGGUAGUCCACGCCCUAAACGAUGUCAACUGGUUGUUGGGUCUUCACUGACUCAGUAACGAAGCUAACGCGUGAAGUUGACCGCCUGGGGAGUACGGCCGCAAGGUUGAAACUCAAAGUAGUAGUUGGACGUGAGAGAGCGACGACGACGACGACGGAGGGAGGAGG